GGAGGGUUGGCAGAGCGGUUGAAUGCACCGGUCUUGAAAACCGGCAUGGUUUAACGACCAUCCAGGGUUCAAAUCCCUGACCCUCCGCCA
rnacentral:tRNA from 1 species